rnacentral:lncRNA from 1 species
GCAGCACAGCGUGUCACCAGAGAGGAAAAGAAUAUCCUUGCUGUGCCAAGAAAGAAAAGACCAUGGAUCUACUAGUUGCAGAUUUCAGCAGUAAUGCCAAGGGGGCAAGAAGUGACCAGCAGAACAAUUAGGCCAUGGCAACAGAAGCCAACUACAACCCAUGUUCCAAUCUAUGACCUCCCUCUCCUGCUGGUACAAGGAUAUGUAUUCCUUAGAGCAAAGGAUGCAAUGUCAAGCAAGUUGUGAUACCUCAACUAUCUACAAUUUAACACCAAGGAAAGAACACUGUUUGGAGAAAUGAGAAAGAUUAUCAUCAGUGUCUUUCAGAAGUCAUCAAAAGAAGAAAAGGAGAAAAGAGAGGAGAAAGCAGAAAGAUCUGGAGUCUGGGAAGUUCAAGAGCAUGGCACCAACAUCUGGCAAGGGCUUUCAUUCUGCAUCAUCUCAUGGAGGAAAAUAAAAAGAUUUCAGGUAAAUCCAGAUUUGGAGCUUAAAUGACUCAAAUGCUUUGCCUACAUUGAUCCUACAUUCAGGCUGCUUACAUAUCUCUUGGCUUCUCUGAGAACCAGAUUGUCACCACUUAAAGUGUCUUCCAGAGUCCUCACGAGUAUCAGAGAAGGCAUAAUCUGUACACGUGGCUUCAUUUAAAAUGAAAAUAUCAAGCAGUGUCAUUUUCACAAGUAUCCCCACACUGUCUGAGGCUGAAAAGAAGAGUGUAGCUAUGCACACUGCAGUGAGAAGAAAAUUUCAGCUCAAUUGGAGGAUGUAAAGAUUGAAAUACCACUGCUCCUAGUUCUGAUGCAAAAUUGAAAAGAGUGCACUGGGUCUUCAAAUGGCAUAUUGACAAGGAGAAAGAGGAAAGGAUGCCCCAGGACAGCCUGGGGGUCAAGGCUGGGCUCAGGCAUGCCUGGACAAGCCAUGCAAGUUGUCUCCGGACUUGAACCACGUAUCAGAGGAGCUAUUUGAGGAGCCACAUCAGCAUACCUGCUUCUGUGGGCCCCCAGGCUGUGGUGCUCAGCCCUUGCACUAUGAAACAUUUUUUUUUUCCAGAAGCCAAAGCUUUGAGCAUCUCCUCCCAUGUAGAGAGUGUAUAUGUUUACGUCCAUGUCUUUCGCCAUGUGAACGCAUGCAACCACCACCUCAAAUAUCAUAAAUCCUCUCUCUCCCCCUUUCUGUCUGCCUGUUUAUCUACAAUCUGUCUAUUUAAAUUCUUUUUAAACAAGAAGGGAAUAUCUUUAUGCCUGUUUGUAGGGAUAUUCUACAUCCAUCUGUUAUUUACAUCAUUCGUUUUCCUGAGGUGUCUCCAACAAAUCCUGGCUGGAUGCACUGUAUGUGUUAUUAAUAAAACAGCUGUAAAAAUA